AUGGNUUAACCAUAGAACUGCUUGGGAAACUGNUAAUCUAGAGUGAGGGAGAGGCAGAUGGAAUUGGUGGUGUAGGGGUAAAAUCCGUAGAGAUCACCAGGAAUACCCAUUGCGAAGGCGAUNUGCUGGAACUCAACUGACGCUAAUGCGUGAAAGCGUGGGGAGCAAACAGGAUUAGAUACCCUGGUAGUNCACGCCCUAAACGAUGUAUACUAGUUGUUGCUAAGCUAGUCUUGGCAGUAAUGCACCUAACGGAUUAAGUAUACCGCCUGGGGAGUACGGUCGCAAGAUUAAAACUCAAAGGAAUAGACGGGGACCCGCACAAGCGGUGGAGCAUGUGGUUUAAUUCGAAGAUACGCGAAGAACCUUACCCGGACUUGAUAUCUAACAAAUCAUCUAGAGAUAGAAGAGUGUCUGCUUGCAGAAAUGUUAAGACAGGUGCUGCACGGCUGUCGUCAGCUCGUGUCGUGAGAUGUUGGGUUAAGUCCCGCAACGAGCGCAACCCACGUCAUUAGUUGCUAACAGUUCGGCUGAGCACUCUAAUGAGACUGCCUUCGUAAGGAGGAGGAAGGUGUGGACGACGUCAAGUCAUCAUGGCCCUUAUGUCCGGGGCGACACACGUGCUACAAUGGCAUAUACAAUGGGAAGCAAUAUCGCGAGAUGGAGCAAAUCUAUAAAAUAUGUCCCAGUUCGGAUUGGAGUCUGCAACUCGACUCCAUGAAGCCGGAAUCGUUAGUAAUCGUAGAUCAGCCAUGCUACGGUGAAUACGUUCCCGGGUCUUGUACUCACCGCCCGUCACACCGUGGGAGUUGAUUUCACUCGAAGCCGGAAUACUAAAUUAGUUACCNUCCACAG
rnacentral:rRNA from 1 species